UUCUUCUUCUUCUUCUUCUUCUUCUUCUUCUCCUCCUUCUUCUUUUUCUUCUUUGUCACUACUGAGAUGUGUUGAAAAGCUAGGAACAUAGCUCAGUGGUAGAGCACCUGCUUAGGUUUCACAAGGUCCUGGGUUUGAUCCUCACCACUACAGGAACAUAAUGUUUGAGUGGUUCUCAAGCUUCCCAAUACUGUAACCCUUCCACACAGUUCCUAAUGUUAUGGUGAACACCCUCCCAACCAUAAAAUUAUUUCAUUGCUACUUUAUUACUAUAAUUUGGUACUCCUACAAAUCAUAAUGUAAAGACCUGAUACGUGACCCCAAAGGGGCAGUGACCCACACUGCUGCUCUAACCAGGUUGGAUUCCAGGUGUUAGACAAAGGUGCAGGAACAGAACCGUGGAGUGUAGCAGAGGGCUUGCUCCUCUACAUGAACCAACUUCAUGGCUUCUGGGUGCCUUCCUAUCACUUCUGCUUCUCAUCGUGGCCACCAACCUUAGGUGUACCACAGCGCUAAUCCAACGUACUCUCCAAGGACCCCAAAGACGGGUUUCCACAAAUGGCACUUUGCUGUGUACAGAUGGCACGGGAAGAAUAGAUUUUUCUUGUUAACAGUUUAGCUAAAACUGCAUGUUAAUAUUUCUACUUGACCACUUGAGGUCAACAAAAAUGUGUCCUAAAGAAUUUACGGUAACUAAGUGGUGAGGAGACAGUCAGGACAUGAUGGAUCUUGACCAUCAUGGGGAUCUGUACCUUUGAGACGUGGGCAGAGCAGAAUCUUGAAGCUAGGGUUUCUCUGCUUCCAAAUCCUUGCACAGGCCCUUCAGAAACCCUUUGACUGCUUCUUAUGAUAAUUUUGUAAGCUGUUGCUUCCAAAGACUACCUCUACCUGGCACUCUUCAACCCCUUGCCUCCCUUCCAUAGGUUUCAGGCCUGGUUGACUGAAUCCUUCCCUGAUGAUAGAUUUGCAUAAGCUGUGCCCACGCAUAUGCUAAUGAAAUACAUUCAACUUUCUUUUAUACUAGUUUGUGAAACUUAGAAAAAAGAAUUUUUUUUUUUUUUUGCCAGCCUGCAAAAUAGGAAAAUGAAAGGGCUGUGUGAGUCUCCCUCCACUAGGUGUUUACAAGGAAGCACGUAUCUUAGGUACUUAGCAAAUAACACGGUUGGGUUUAUUUAACUUGUAGUGAUUGUGCUCUGAAUUUUCCAAGCCUGUGAAUCAUAUUUGUGACUCAUAUUUUCAAGGGAAUUCCCCCAUCUGACUUUCCUCUCAGUUCGAGUCGGGUAUAGCCUGGCAGGCUCGCUUAGGAACUGAGCAAAAUCGAACUGGCUAGCUCCUUAGCUUGUCCCACCCCUCCUCAAGAAAAAUUAAUUUCGUUGCUACUGCGUGAGACGAUUUCUCUGUCUUUCAGCAUGGAAACUUGAAUGUGGGUUCUCCUGCUAGGCAGUCACUUGUUGCUGGUGACUGAUUUGUUGAAGAGUUGCUGAUUUCUAGUGUGCGGAAUUGGUUUCUUCCUUUUUUUCUUUUUUCCUGAGUUCCUUAAGUUCCUAGUCUGGUGUUUGGAAGAAAAGAUAAUUUAAUGUAGGCUAUUUGUUUUAUUGCGUCCAAUAAUCAAAAAGUAACAUUUCCGGCAGGGGCAACACUGGGAGAGGAAAUACUUUGAAAGUAUAAACCUGUUUUCAAAAAGAUGGAAUCAAGCACUUGCCUGUAAAAAGGUGCAGAAUGAAUCAGUGGUGGCAUGUGUCAGCCAAUUAAAGGUUCUGUUGGCUACCUGUAGGGAUUUUGCAAUAAUUUUAUUGCCUGGGAAGACCACUCAGGUCUCUUCAAUAGGCCCAGAAGACCGAAUCUUUUCCUGAUGGUAAAUAUGCAUGAACUAUGCCCAUGUGUGUGUGUGUGUGUGUGAGUGAGUGAGUGAGAGAGAGAGAGAGAGAGAGAGAGAGAGAUGCAAAACAGGAUGACUGCCAACAGAAUUGGUCGCAUGCUUUGUCCACCCCAGGUAAGUCUGCCCCAGUGGCCUGCUUGGCAACAAAACACUUCUCCAUGACUUAGAAGCCCUACAGGGUUGGGAAAUGAGAGAAACAGGGAAGACAAGACAGCAGAGAGUGGGAAACCUGACUGUGUGGGCGGCAGGAGCUGGUUAACGGUGUGGCUUUCAGUUCCUGCUUCGCUUCUAUGGUCGUGAGUUUGGGAAAGCUACUCAUUUCUCUGGAAUCUGUGCCCUUCCUCAUAAGAGGAAGGCUGUUGUCUCCAGGUGAUGCUCCGAGGAUUCCUUCCCUUCAAGAAAGGAAAUUCUGUGUGUCUCAGGCAGAAGAGAGCGGACUCAUUCGGGUGAUGGAAUCAGGGAGUAAACGCUGCUGAAAGUGGGACCACGUUGAUGCUGAGGGUGGCCUAGAUCCCAAGGUAGGACUGGUGAUGUGGGUGAGACGGAAAACUGUUUGCCAGGCAAGCGUGAAGAUGUGAGUCAGAUUCCCAACACCCUUUAAAAAGCCAGGCGCAUUGGCACAUGCCCGUAAUCCCAAGUGCUAGGAAACCAUGCAGGCGAUGGUUUCUUCCUGUGAUCAGUGACUUUCACAGGGGAAGACCAGUCUAAGUUCAGGUGAAUUGGCUUGCAUCUUGAAAACACUUCCCUAGGAGCCAUAUUUCCCAUCCAUAACUGUGUCCCUACUCCUUCCCCAGAGCAGCAGCCUCCACUCUGACUCUGUCCUCUGGGUGUGAUUGGUUUUCCUGCUUCCCGUCCGUUCCACAUCUGCUUCUGUGUUUCAGGUGUUUCUGGAAGCCCAGAGGCAUAGUCAGUUGUCUCCUGCACUCUGAAGUCCCAUUGAGUGACUUCUCUUGCAGAUCCAGGCACAGUCGUUUAUCUUGUCAAGGUCCCGCAUAAAGAAUCAGCCCUGUUAUAUUGUGUUUUUCCCAGGAGUUCUGCACAUCUGAAUGAGAUCUGUCAUCAGCUGCAGAGCUUGAGGUGAAACUCUCUGAGACUCAGCCAGUGAGUCUCACACACUUCUUGCUGGCCUCCUUUUCUGGGCAGUACAUUAGAAUAGGCCCGUGUCUCUAGAAUUUAAUGAUAAGUGGUGGAGACCAAUGGAAACUUCAACCCAAGUGACAGACCAGCAGCGUGAAUGCUAGUGGUCAAAGAAGCCCUGGACAUUUUUAUUACGUAUUGUGCUGAGCUCUUGAUAGCAGACAUUUUCUGCAUCCUUACUUGUGUUUCUGCAUACUGUGCUGAGUUCAUUAUGUACACUUAUUAUGUGCAUCUCACACACAUACAUCCCAGAUGUCCAAUUCUCAAGGCCCAUUGCCUAUCCCCACCCCUAAUCCCCAGAUGAAGAAUCUGAGGCUCAGAGAGAAGUCAUUUGCUUAAGCUUAUACAGGAGACCAAUGCAGAUUAAGUUUUAUGCUUUAGAGAAAUCUAAGCUGGUGUUAACUGACAACCCCAUCAAGGAGAGCCUGCUUCACAAAUAUGAGAGAGAGAGAGAGAGAGAGAGAACGAACUACCCAGCAGCUCAGGUCAGUCACCUUUCCCCAUCCCCUACCCCUGCCUGCAGGUUUGUUCCAUUGUGCUGAGGAAUGUCCCUGCCUCUGGGAUGACAUCCAGGUGGUAUAAAUGGAAAAGUGACAAAUUAUUCCUUUGCUCUAGUGUAGGCAUUGCUGUAAUUAGUAGCAAGUUGGAACCUU
rnacentral:lncRNA from 1 species